UAUCCGCCCGGGAACUACAAGCACAAGCUUAAAACCCAAAGGACUUGGCGGUGCUUUAGAUCCUCCUAGAGGAGCCUGUUCUAGAACCGAUAACCCCCGUUCAACCUCACCUUUCCUUGUUUUUCCCGCCUAUAUACCGCCGUCGUCAGCCCACCCCGUGAGGGUUAAAAAGUAGGCUUAAUUGGCACAGCCCAAAACGUCAGGCCGAGGUGUAGCGUAUGGAAAGGGAAGAAAUGGGCUACAUUCCCUGUUUUAGGGCACACGAAUGAUGUGCUGAAACGCACGUCUUGAAGGAGGAUUUAGCAGUAAGCAGGGAAGUAGAGCGUUCUGCUGAAAUUGGCUC
rnacentral:rRNA from 1 species